CAGUCGUAACAAAGUUUCCGUAGGUGGGGGACCCUUAGGUGGGGGACCCUUAGGCCUAGCUCCUGUCUCCUAGAUGCGGUCAACAAGAAUCGUGAAGCGUUAUCCUUGCACAAUCUAUGACACUUUCAGACACUGACUGCUUGCGGAAACAAGGCCUUAGAGAACGUCAACAAACCGAACAACUGUUAACAAUGGAUAUUUGGUUCUC
rnacentral:misc_RNA from 1 species